GGGGCUACAAUCAAACAAUGCACGAUGAAUAUUCAUCAUGGAGCUGAGGAAAUACAAAAGAGUUUGGAAAUGCUAUCUCUUGAACAAUGACUAAAUGCAUUUAGAGUUUAGUCGCCACAGGUAGAAGAGUGUUGAUAACACAACAGUGUCUUGGCUGGUGCUGAGCUGUACUCACAGAGCAUCAAGGCCUGUGUAUCCAACAGUCCCUCCCCAACAAAGAGAGGCUGGGAGUGGAGUAGAGGAUGGGAAGGGACACUGCUGAGACAGCAUACCCAAACUGACCAAAGGGAUAUUUCAUACCUAUGAAAUCUGCUUCCAGAUGUCAUACCUAUGACAUACCUAAGACACGAGAGGGGAAAAUGUGUUUCUUCCAAAACAACCCUAAAG